GGAGGGAGCGAACGUUGUUCGGAUUUACUGGGCGUAAAGGGCGUGUAGGCGGUUUGGCAAGUCAGGGGUGAAAUGUCUCGGCUCAACCGAGGACCUGCCUCUGAAACUGCCAGACUUGAGGCCGUGAGAGGAGACUGGAAUUCCUAGUGUAGCGGUGAAAUGCAUAGAUAUUAGGAAGAACAUCAGUGGCGAAGGCGAGUCUCUGGCACGGUUCUGACGCUGAGGCGCGAAAGCUAGGGGGAGCGAACGGGAUUAGAUACCCCGGUAGUCCUAGCCGUAAACGAUGGGUACUAAGUGUUGGCCCGAUCGACCCCGGUCAGUGCUGCAGCUAACGCGUUAAGUACCCCCGCCUGGGGAGUACGACCGCAAGGUUG
rnacentral:rRNA from 1 species